AGCUUUGCGCAGUGGCAGUACCAUAGCCAAUGAGGUUUAUCCUAGGCGUGAUUAUUGCUAAUUGAAAGAAAUUCUUGUGCU
ensembl:snRNA U4 U4 spliceosomal RNA